UCACCAUGUUAGCCAGACUGGUCUUGAAUUCCUAACUUCAGGUGAUCCACCUGCCUUGGCCUCCCAAAGUGCUGGAAUUACAGGCGUGAGCCACCGCACCCAGCCGUUUUUUUCUUUCUUUUCUUUUUUUUUUUUAAGGACUAUCUGCCAGCAGUGAUUAAAGACAGGAUCAAUUUCAUAGAACUGUUUAUUAAGAAUUUACUUGAAAGCAUGUUUUUACAUAGUUUUAAAUUUGGGUUUGGAUUUUUUCAGCACUCAGACAGAGGGCGCCCUUGAAUCACCAAGAACAGGCUCUGUAACACUGGGAGCUGGCAUACUGAGUAAUUGUUAUGUGAAUGAGGGAAAAUGCAUUGUUUUGGCUAAAAUAGAUUGCAAAAUGCUUGUUUAGUGUUGGAUUUAGCCUGUUUAUGGCUUUAAAUUUAUUGAGUCACUGCAUGAGUUUGCUGUUACAUUAUUUUUUCAUUUCUUAAAGACUAGAUAAAAGUAAUUGCUGUAAGAUUCAAAUCAACAGGUGUUCUGGACUUGGAAGAUUUGUUGAAUUACUAUGAAGUCACAUCUAAAGUUUGAAAGAGAUCGGGUCUCACUAUUUUGCCCACGCUGGUCUUGAACUCCUGUCCUCAAGCAGGAUAUCCUCCUGCCUUGGCCUCCCAAAGUUCUGGGAUUACAGUCUCGCUCUGUCGCCAGGCUGGAGUGCACGCUGGAGCGCGAUCUUGUCUUACUACAACCUCUGCCUCCCAGAUUCAAGCGAUUUUCCUGCCUCAGCCUCCCGAGUAGCUGGGACUACAGGGACGCACCACCAUGCCCAGCUAAUUUUUGUAUUUUUAGUAGAGAUGUGGUUUCACCAUGUUGGCCAGGAUGGUCUUGAUCUCUUGACCUCGUGAUCCACCCGCCUCGGCUUCCCAAAGUGCUGGGAUUAUAGGCAUAAGCCACCACGCCUGGCCUGAAAUUAUUUUUCUAUACAGUUCUUAGAGGAAGUGUUUGGGUCACCUACAUAGGCAUGUAGUUCUUGACACUGGUUACUAGAGGAUUUAUAGAGGAUGUUCAUAUAUUCAACAAGCAUUUGUUGAAUACCUAUUAGGUGCUAGCCAUGGAAAUAUGGGAUUGAAAAAAACAGACAAAAAUCCCUAAUCUCUCUUACAAUCUAGUGAGGACAAUCAGACAGUACACAAAAUAAGCAUAAUAUAUAGUAAUCAUGUGGUAGUAAGUUCUAUAGAGCAAAAACAAGUUUAAAGAAGGAGGUUGGGGGGAGUGUUGAGAUGCAUAAGGUUUGCAGUUAUAAAUGUGGUGGUUAGGGAAUCAUUUGCUGAAAAAUGAACAUUGAGCAAAAACCUGAAGGAUGUUAAAGGAAUAAGAUACAUGUAAUCCAGAUGAAAGUUUUUUGGAUAAAGGAAAGAGCAAUUGCUAAAUCCCUGAGGUGGGAGUGGGCUGUUCAUAAGACAGCAAAGCAGCCAGGGUAGCUGAGUGAUUGACAGCGGAAGAUGGAAAAUGGGGAAUAGUUGGUGUAGGACCUAGUUGUGAGGAUAUUGACUUUGUUUUUUUUCCAAGACAGAGCUGUGCUCUGUCGCCCAGGCUAGAGUGCAGUGGCAUGAUCUUGGCUCACUGCAAUCUCCGCCUCCCGGGUUCAAGCAAUGCUCCUGCCUUAGCCUCCCCAGUAGCUGGGAUUACAGGCACCUGCCACCAUGUCCAAUUAAUUUUUGUAUUUUUAGUAGAGAUGGGGUUUCGCCAUGUUAGCCAGGCUGGUCUUGGACUCCUGACCUCAAGUGAUCUGCCCGCCUCAGCCUCCCAAAGUGCUGGGAUUACAGGCGUGAGCCACCAUGCCCACCCUAGGAUAUUUACUUUUAUUUUGAAUAAGGAUGCCACUGGAGGCCAGACGUGGUGGCUAACGCCUAUAAUCCCAGCACUUUGGGAGGACGAGGCGGGUGGAUCACGAGGUUAGGAGAUUGAGACCAUCCUGGCCAACAUGGUGGAACCCCGUCUCUACUAAAAAAAAAAAAAAAAUUAGCCAGGUGUGGUUGCAUGCGCCUGUAGUCCCAGCAACUCAGGAGGCUGAGGAAGGAGAAUCACUUGAACCCGGGAGGUGGAGGUUGCAGUGAGCCGAGAUCGCCCCACUGUACUCCAGCCUGGGUGACAGAGCAAGACUCUGUCUCAAAAAAAAAAAAAAAAAAAAAUGCCACUGGAGAGCUUUGAGGAGAGGAUCAGUCUGGCUACUGGGUUGGGAAUUAAUCAUAGCAGGCAAAGGCAAAAGAAGUGAGGUUAGUUAGGAGGCUUUACAACAACCCAGAUGAGAGAUGGGAGGUUUUAGCCAGGGAGAUGGAGAUGUUGAGAGAGUAGCUGGACUCAGGAUUGUGACAGUGGACUGAAGGAAAAGCAGGUUUUGGGGGAAGAUUGCAUUUCUCCCUUCAACUUCAGUUACGUAGAUCACCCAUAUGCCACACAACUGCAACUCUGUAACAGCCAAUUUUUAGCUUCUUCCUUAUCUAAGCCAUCCUGUAGGCCAUAGGAAUUAAAACUAGGUUGGAUCAAGGAAAAGUGAAUGCUAGAUCCAUACAAAACUAUUUGGAUAUUUGCCUUUGUAUUUUAUUGUUUUGAAAUUAUUUUUAAUGGUUCAAUAAACUCUUACUAGAACUACAAGCAAUAUAAUUAUUUCCUCUGCUUUAUUAGAAAUGUUUUUGUAAUCAUGUUAAUUAUAUUACUUUUAACUAUAUAAGGCUUGUGUCUCUUUUUUAUAAAUUGAUGUUUAUAUCCUCUGUAAGAUAAAUAUAAAGGCUUUUUGUUCAUAUGAGGAUGUGCUGUAAGAUUGCAGGGAGUAUAAAAAUUGGCAAUGGAGUAGGUGACUUGUAUUAUUAGUCUGAUCUUAAUGUUGUAACAUACUGAUCAUGCAAAAUAUAUAAUUAGUUUGUUUUUGCUAUUUAAUAUGUGUAGGACUGUAACAAACAGACUAGAGAAGAUGGCCAUAAGUUACAAGAAAGCAAGUAAAUUACUAUCUAAUUAAAAGUAUUUGAUUCUAAUACUAGCAGAGUUCUGUCUAGAAAAUAAAUUAACUUUCUGUAUGCUUUUUUUGGUCUCAAUUUUCCAAUAAUUUCCCUCAACUCUGAUAUGUGUCUGUUGAAUAAUAUUUCUGAUGUUAAGAAUUAAAGGGGGUGUAGAUCAGUGGUAGGGCGCACGCUUAGCAUGCAUGAGGCCCUGGGUCAAUCCCCAGCACCUCCACAAAGGUUUUCUGGCUGGACACGGUGGCUCACACCUGUAAUCUCAGCAUUUUGGGAAGCUGAGUUGGACAGAUCACUAGAGGUCAGGAGUUCGAGACCAGCGUGGCCAACAUGGUGAAACCCUAUUUCUACUAAAAAUACAAAAAAAUUAGCCGGUCACGGUGGCACACACCUGUAAUCUCAGCUACUUGGGAGGCUGAGGCAUGACAAUCGCUUGAACCUGGAAGGCGG
rnacentral:tRNA from 1 species